rnacentral:rRNA from 1 species
CACGGACCGCACGAACGUUAUUCGGUAUCACUGGGCUUAAAGGGUGCGUAGGCGGCUUUGCAAGUUGGGUGUGAAAGCCCUCGGCUCAACCGAGGAAUUGCGCUCAAUACUGCCGAGCUCGAGAGAGACAGAGGUAAGCGGAACUAAUGGUGGAGCGGUGAAAUGCGUUGAUAUCAUUAGGAACACCGGUGGCGAAGGCGGCUUACUGGGU